rnacentral:rRNA from 1 species
GAUGAACGCUGGCGGCGUGCCUAAUACAUGCAAGUCGAGCGAACGGACGAGAAGCUUGCUUUUCUGAUGUUAGCGGCGGACGGGUGAGUAACACGUGGAUAACCUACCUAUAAGACUGGGAUAACUUCGGGAAACCGGAGCUAAUACCGGAUAAUAUUUUGAACCGCAUGGUUCAAAAGUGAAAGACGGUCUUGCUGUCACUUAUAGAUGGAUCCGCGCUGCAUUAGCUGGUUGGUAAGGUAACGGCUUACCAAGGCAACGAUGCAUAGCCGACCUGAGAGGGUGAUCGGCCACACUGGAACUGAGACACGGUCCAGACUCCUACGGGAGGCAGCAGUAGGGAAUCUUCCGCAAUGGGCGAAAGCCUGACGGAGCAACGCCGCGUGAGUGAUGAAGGUCUUCGGAUCGUAAAACUCUGUUAUUAGGGAAGAACAUAUGUGUAAGUAACUGUGCACAUCUUGACGGUACCUAAUCAGAAAGCCACGGCUAACUACGUGCCAGCAGCCGCGGUAAUACGUAGGUGGCAAGCGUUAUCCGGAAUUAUUGGGCGUAAAGCGCGCGUAGGCGGUUUUUUAAGUCUGAUGUGAAAGCCCACGGCUCAACCGUGGAGGGUCAUUGGAAACUGGAAAACUUGAGUGCAGAAGAGGAAAGUGGAAUUCCAUGUGUAGCGGUGAAAUGCGCAGAGAUGUGGAGGAACACCAGUGGCGAAGGCGACUUUCUGGUCUGUAACUGACGCUGAUGUGCGAAAGCGUGGGGAUCAAACAGGAUUAGAUACCCUGGUAGUCCACGCCGUAAACGAUGAGUGCUAAGUGUUAGGGGGUUUCCGCCCCUUAGUGCUGCAGCUAACGCAUUAAGCACUCCGCCUGGGGAGUACGACCGCAAGGUUGAAACUCAAAGGAAUUGACGGGGGCCCGCACAAGCGGUGGAGCAUGUGGUUUAAUUCGAAGCAACGCGAAGAACCUUACCAAAUCUUGACAUCCUUUGACAACUCUAGAGAUAGAGCCUUCCCCUUCGGGGGACAAAGUGACAGGUGGUGCAUGGUUGUCGUCAGCUCGUGUCGUGAGAUGUUGGGUUAAGUCCCGCAACGAGCGCAACCCUUAAGCUUAGUUGCCAUCAUUAAGUUGGGCACUCUAAGUUGACUGCCGGUGACAAACCGGAGGAAGGUGGGGAUGACGUCAAAUCAUCAUGCCCCUUAUGAUUUGGGCUACACACGUGCUACAAUGGACAAUACAAAGGGCAGCGAAACCGCGAGGUCAAGCAAAUCCCAUAAAGUUGUUCUCAGUUCGGAUUGUAGUCUGCAACUCGACUACAUGAAGCUGGAAUCGCUAGUAAUCGUAGAUCAGCAUGCUACGGUGGAUACGUUCCCGGGUCU